UACAGAGCGGUUCAAUCCCUUUCUCCCUCCUCAUGAUGUCCCAUAAUCCUCCUCAGUACAGAGCGGUUCAAUCCCUUUCUCCCUCCUCAUGAUGUCCCAUAAUCCUCCUCAGUACAGAGCGGUUCAAUCCCUUUCUCCCUCCUCAUGAUGUCCCAUAAUCCCCUCAGUACAGAGCGGUUCAAUCCCUUUCUCCCUCCUCAUGAUGUCCCAUAAUCCUCCUCAGUACAGAGCGGUUCAAUCCCUUUCUCCCUCCUCAUAAUGUCCCCAUCUAAAUAUACAGCUGUCAGAUGAAACAGGAACAACACUAAAAAGGUUGAGUGGACUUCCACUCUCCUUAAAACAUCAAGAGACGGAAGGUGAAUGUUCCUACUGCCUGAUGAACUGAACUGAAUCUGGAGGUGGUGUACAUACUGCCUGAUGAACUGAACUGAAUCUGGAGGUGGUGUACAUACUGCCUGAUGAACUGAACUGAAUCUGGAGGUGGUGUACAUACUGCCUGAUGAACUGAACUGAAUCUGGAGGUGGUGUUCAUACUGCCUGAUGAACUGAACUGAAUCUGGAGGUGGUGUUCAUACUGCCUGAUAAACUGAACUGAAUCUGGAGGUGGUGUACAUACUGCCUGAUGAACUGAACUGAAUCUGGAGGUGGUGUACAUACUGCCUGAUGAACUGAACUGAAUCUGGAGGUGGUGUACAUACUGCCUGAUGAACUGAACUGAAUCUGGAGGUGAGGUGUACAUACUGCCUGAUGAACUGAACUGAAUCUAGAGGUGAGGUGUACAUACUGCCUGAUGAACUGAACUGAAUCUAGAGGUGAGGUGUACAUACUGCCUGAUGAACUGAACUGAAUCUGGAGGUGAGGUGUACAUACUGCCUGAUGAACUGAACUGAAUCUGGAGGUGAGGUGUACAUACUGCCUGAUGAACUGAACUGAAUCUGGAGGUGAGGUGUACAUACUGCCUGAUGAACUGAACUGAAUCUGGAGGUGAGGUGUACAUACUGCCUGAUGAACUGAACUGAAUCUAGAGGUGAGGUGUACAUACUGCCUGAUGAAC